UAAGAGUUAAGAUUAUUGCUUAAUCACUUAAGAUUAUACAAUACAGUGAUGACUUGGUAAUCACUGUACUUCCAAAGGAUUUGGAAGUCUCAGGUGUGGGACAGUGACUUGCUGUAAAUGUGCACAUGUCCGUGCUUGGCAGUUAAAAUGCUGUUCUGUUGAGUGGAGCACACUGUGCAUUAUGUCUGGAUUUGGGGGUAUUAGCACUUCUUGUGGACACGUUAGCUUUCAGUACAUGUUCCACGUAUGCGUGUUCAGGUAAUUCUGGACCUGCACUAAAAAGAUUCUGCUUGUUGGAAAGUUCCACCUUCACUGAUGUAAACUGAUGGGAGCAAACAUUUUAGCACAAACUCUGAAGCACUUACCUGAAUUGCAGUGAUUCAUAAAAUGUGUACACGCUGCCAUUUAGCCUUGGAAAACUAAUGGCACUGUAUACAUGCAAUUCCUGUUAAUUGCAUGGUUUAGUCUUGCCACUAUUUAUCUUGGUCACUCAUUUAACCGUUGGCUGCAUAAUAGAAUUGUAGAGCCUUAUUUCUGCUACAUUUGCAUUUUGGCACCUUGUUAAAUGUCUUCAAGCUUUCUAAAGUGCAUCAAAAAACUAAUGGGGGCAUUAGUUUUCUAAUUGCUAUCUCUAACACCAUGUUGCAAUAGCCGAUAAUGUCCUACUUUAUAGAUUAAUGUUCACAGGAUUGCAGCUUUGCAGGUACAGAGAGAUGGAGUUUCUGACUGACAGAAACAAUUUUGGAGAAAGAGCAAAGUUAGAUGCCAUCGUAUUGAUUGUGUUGUGCUUGUACAGAUUGGACUCUUGGAGUUGCUUUUACUAUCUAGCUGUGCAUCACAGCACGUAAUUGAUAGAGCUGCAUCCAUAUGUGGCCAGGAUAUUCUCCAAGAGCUCGUGGGGAAACUGAAAGUCAAACAAGGCAGUGAAAGCAUUGUGUCUGAUCAGGAAACAGCUUAAAUGCAUCUGUAAUGCAGGUGUUUUGCGCUGUUUUGGAAACUGGGAUUUGCUGACAAGUCUGGUGCAUUUUUCUGCAUCCCAGAGCCUAAAGCUAAGUUCAUGUCCUCGUUCUUACAGCAGCAUAGGCUGAAAGCGACUCAGUGCUGCCGGUGUACGUCGUUUCUUGUCCAAAAGACCCACAUUAAAGGAAGGAAAGGAUGGUUGUGGCUCAAAAAUAGAAGAGAAACGGUUUCUUCAGGGUAGAAAAACAGCUCUUAGCAAGUUUAGGGAUGUGACAAACAGCUCGAAAGCCACAGGUAAGGGAGUCAUGGUAUGGGGUCAGAAUUGGUAUAAUAAAGCCCUUUCCAGGAUUGCAUCAGGUGUGGGAUACUGUUUCUCGCUAUUUAGAAAGUGUGAUGGAGCUUCCAGAAUGUUGUCUUCGCAUUCUGUCUCUGCUGAAGUUACCGUUGCCAAACGUGAAUUUUGACUGCUAAACGGGCAGUAGGGGGAGCUGGUACGCUGUGAAGCUCAAGAAGAGCAAUUCCCUUCCUGUCCCUGUGCCAUCCCUUCAGCUUCCUUAGCAUGGUUUAUCUGAAACGGGAUCUGUGUUUCCAGCUUGGGAACAGAUCCUGCUGAAGCUUCUGAGCAAGACUUUAAACCGGAUAUGGCAUUUUCUUAGGGAAAAAAAAGUCAAAUAGGAUCUCUUGGGGAGGCAUAGAGAGAGCCUUGAAACGGAUUGCUGAAAAAUACCUCGCACAGAUGAACGCCUCUGUGAGGACACCAAAAGUUUACUGAGUAAUAAUACUGACUGUGCAAAGUUAUGUGUUCUUUAAUGUGCUUUUGACAGUCUGCUGCUUCCUAAGCUUCGUGUCACCAUAGGGUUUGGUGAAGAAAUAUUUAUGUUUUUUCCUUGGGAUUAUAUCUGUGCUGGAGCAAGUGAUGUGUGGCACUUAUAUAUAAAUGAAGAGACAAAGCAUAUUUAAUAGAAUUAGAUAUAGAUAUUUAGGUAUGUAUACACUAUAUGUUUUCAUAAAUAUAUAGUUCUAAAUAUUUGAGUACAAUCAUAUCCUGAAGAGCCAGCAGAUCCUUGUCAUGGGUGAAACACAGUGCCUAGUGGGUUGUGAGUUGUAUCCAUGGGCAAGUAUAAAUUAUGGGUAUUGGUUUGCAUUUGGGGCCCGGGCAUAGGCAGGAAUCGCAGAAGGAAUAGGUUUGUCACUUUGAAGUCUCAGAAAGUGUUGCAGACACCCAGUAGCACCCAGCACCAUUAAAAGUGAGUGACUAGGAAGUGUUUCCAGAUAGUGCAACCCACUGUCCCAUGGUAUAAUCCAGGAAAGGUUUGUUUUCUUCAGUGUGAAUGUAUAUUUUGGUAGAGUGUGCCAUUCAAGUUAAGACUGAAGUGGCUUAAAUUGAGGAAACCUAGCAGGAAGGUAACAAAUAUUCUAAGCCAAUAAAUGGUAUUUAAGCGUUUGAAAUCAUGAGGGUAGGACUGUGAUGGAUUCUGUGAUAUUUCCAGCAGUCACAUUUAUGACAGAGUUAUGCAGACUUGGUUCAUAGCAGAGCAUCCUGCUUUAGGCUGAACAUACAUUUUAUGUUACAGGGAAUAAUUUGGCAAUUUGAGUCUUGCAUUUUGUGGCUUUUAACAUCUGGGUUCUGAAUAGGUUCUGUGUCAAUAGAGUGAGACUGACUGGCUUCGUGAACUGUUUGGAAUUUCUGUGCUUGUAACAAAAAGAGAUGCUAAGGUGUGACUUCCAGCCUGCUAUUUCGGAGAAAGGAAAGGACGUGCUGGUUUAUGGGUCCCCUUAUCUUCAACACCUGUGGAAAUCACAACUGGAUUAAAAAAAAAAAAGAACAGCUGUAUUCAAAUGGGAACCCAGUUGGAAGGAAGCUGAGAUGCAGGAAUUCAGUUUUAAAUAAUAGACAUAAUUGCCCUUAAGGGUUCAAAUUAAAAGUGAGGCCCUUUUUGGUUUACGUACUUGACAUAAGCAGAUGGAAAUCGUAUUGACUGUAACUGCAGAUUAAUGCAAGUCAGGAAACAUACUUUUGUAAGGAAGUGAGAGUCAGAGAGACUGCACUGUAAAAAUGCAAUGUGGUCUAACCUUGGUUGGCUAAUAAUGUACUUUAAUGGGAGUUGCUGCAGGCAGAUAAAAUUCUCUUCUGCAUGAAUUUCUGAGCAGUCAGGCUAAGAAGGGAAAGGAAGAACAUGGAACUUGAGCUCUCUUUAUGGCUUAGAACUUGAGCCCCUUUUGUCUAGAAAUAAUUAAAGGAGAAAAUCUUUUACUAGGACCAAGUCAGUUGCUUAUGAACGUAUCUAAUAAAAUUGAAAUAGUGGCAGUACUCUCUAGGCACAUUAGUUCUAUUUUGAAAGUUGGCAAAGAAGAAUUUUAAUUUAGAGAAUUCGUAUUGAAGUAGUCUAAAACUUGAGGGUACAGCUGAAGGGAUUUACAGUUUUGAGUGUUCAAGUUUUGUGCAUUUCUUCAUAUUUUUUUUAGCCUAGCUGACCGGUCUGCAUAAUGAAACAAGAUUUUUUUUAAGGCCCUGUAAUGCAGAGGGAUUUAGAACUACAGACUGCUUCUGAAAAUGUUUUCAUUCAUCCCUAAACAUGAUGAUAUUAUUCAAACUUAAGAACCAUUCAGAGUCAAGAUAAAUGUACCUAUGCUGUCCUCCUCACAAGUGCCUUCUUAUACCAUUCUCUUUUUUUUUUUUAAUAGAAAGCCAGCAAGCCUUCGCACAUCUUUCUAAUCUGAAACACAGCAAAAUCUGUCUCUCAUUUUUGCUGUUGAGUGUUCAAACCCCAGGAAUUGUGUUUUUUAAUCUGCUCUGUAUGUAUUCCUGCGGUUUACAUUUUUUUGCUAAUUAAAAUACUGCGUAUUUCUUUCACUCAUCUGAUGAGAAACAUUUGUAGUCCGUAUUUCCAGGAAUUUUUUAAUACUUUCUAGAAUUACAGCUGAGACACCACGUCCUUAUCAGCUUUUGUAAAUGGAGGAGGUCUGUGGGAGCAGAUGGCUAAAUUAGAAGGAAAUCAGUGAGUGAGUAGAAGCAGCUCCAUUGAUUCCAAAGCUGUAAAAUUCGCAAAGCAGCACUGUUUUUCAUCCGUAAAUGUUCUGCAGUUCAUGUUUUUUAUUUAGUUACUGCCUGUAUAAUUCUUGCU
ensembl:lncRNA